rnacentral:miRNA from 1 species
CAGCAGACACAUUCCAGCCAAUCAGCACCAGACCCUCCCUCCCAGACCCUCUCACCUCCUGGACAGCAUUCAUUUUGAAGCUGCAUUUUUAGUGAGCUGUCCAGGAGGUGGGAAGGUCUGGGAGGGAGGGUCUGCUGCUGAUUGGCUGGAAUGUCUGCUGAC